ACGAAACUUCUUUAUCACCGAGUGCUUGCACUCACCGAUAAAGAGUUGAGUGGCGAACGGGUGAGUAACACGUGGGCAACCUGCCCAAAAGAGGGGGAUAACACUUGGAAACAGGUGAUAAUACCGCAUAACCAUAGUUACCGCAUGGUAACUAUGUAAAAGGUGGCUAUGCUACCGCUUUUGGAUGGGCCCGCGGCGCAUUAGCUAGUUGGUGGGGUAAAGGCUUACCAAGGCAAUGAUGCGUAGCCGAACUGAGAGGUUGAUCGGCCACAUUGGGACUGAGACACGGCCCAAACUCCUACGGGAGGCAGCAGUAGGGAAUCUUCCACAAUGGGCGAAAGCCUGAUGGAGCAACGCCGCGUGGGUGAAGAAGGUGGGGGGAUAAAAAAACCCUGUUGUUUGUGCCGCCCCUGCGUGUGUGUGUCUGUUCUCGUUUCGUCGGUUUCUCUCCUGUUGGCCGCGGCUUUCUNCGUGCCNGCCGCCGCGGUNUUNCGUNGGUGGCGUGCGUUUUCCGGNUUUNUUGGGCGUNNNGGGNNCGCCGGCGGUCUUUUNUGUCUGNUGUGNUUGCCUUCGGCUUNUCCGGUGUNGUGCCUUGCCCCCUGGGUGUCUUGUGUGCUGCCGUCGCGCCUCCCCCUCCAUGUGUGGCGGUGAAAGGCGUAGAUAUAUGGGAGAACACCAGUGGCGAAAGCGGCUCUCUGGUCUGUAACUGACGCUGAGGUUCGAAAGCGUGGGUAGCAAACAGGAUUAGAUACCCUGGUAGUCCACGCCGUAAACGAUGAAUGCUAAGUGUUGGAGGGUUUCCGCCCUUCAGUGCUGCAGCUAACGCAAUAAGCAUUCCGCCUGGGGAGUACGACCGCAAGGUUGAAACUCAAAGGAAUUGACGGGGGCCCGCACAAGCGGUGGAGCAUGUGGUUUAAUUCGAAGCAACGCGAAGAACCUUACCAGGUCUUGACAUCUUUUGACGAUCCUAGAGAUAGGACUUUCCCUUCGGGGACAAAAUGACAGGUGGUGCAUGGUUGUCGUUAGCUCGUGUCGUGAGAUGUUGGGUUAAGUCCCGCAACGAGCGCAACCCUUAUUGUUAGUUGCCAGCAUUAAGUUGGGCACUCUAGCAAGACUGCCGGUGACAAACCGGAGGAAGGUGGGGAUGACGUCAAAUCAUCAUGCCCCUUAUGACCUGGGCUACACACGUGCUACAAUGGACGGUACAACGAGUCGCAAGACCGCGAGGUUUAGCAAAUCUCUUAAAGCCGUUCUCAGUUCGGAUUGUAGGCUGCAACUCGCCUACAUGAAGUCGGAAUCGCUAGUAAUCGCGGAUCA
rnacentral:rRNA from 1 species